GUUGGCCCUCUACUAGGACGAGGACACAGCUUGCAAGAAGUUACUAGAUUGAGGGGAGGAGAAGCAACUCGUCAGUCAUGCGACAUGAAUAGAACAGAAGAUACGUGGGAUUAGUGCUUUCGCAGGGGAGAUUAGGAAGGCUUAACCCAGAUUAGGGGGGAAGGGGAGCAUUAGUGCUUGAUUAGCAACAGCGUUGUCGUAGUUGAAAGGCGGGAAGUGGCGAUGGCGAGAGGAUGCUUAAGUGGGCAUCGCAAGCUGUGUGAAGUAAUUGUGCAUCGUAGUCUUUCCUUGACGUCGUCGUCGUUGUUGUAGUUGUUGUUGUGGUUGUUGUUGUUGAGUCUCGUCUCGCAUGACAGAGAACUUGCAGUUACCGUUGCGCGGUGCUAAUCGGUCGUGGUUGUGCGAAGAACGGGGUUUAUUCUGUCUAUUCGCAUUGCAAUCGAUUUAACAAUUGAUCUUGGCGGUGGUGCGUGAAGGUUGAAGCUCAGAGCCCAGCCGUGAGAUAAUUCGUCAGCCAAGGGUGGCGUUGCUAUCUGACUGCUUGCAUCGAGAGAGGUCUCUGUCUGACGAGCUUAUCGCACAACGCGGUGUAGGUGGACUUCAUCGCGAACUUUACAAGUAGCUGUCCAUACACCCUGCAUAUCCUACUUACUGCAAUCACUCGGAAGAUCUUUCAAAUCCUUCUCUAAAUACUAUCUCACGUGUGCGAGUUUGAAAAGCCGUACUACCCUUCUCUUUGAUUCAUCGUGCUGUGCAUCAUCUAAGAAUAAACCAGUGCUUUCUAACGAAUUUUCCGAGGUAGAGCAAGGCCUGUUCCCGAUCGAUUUCAAUGAUGAAUAUUGAUCGAAAUAGGAUUUUAAACGAUGAGUCAACUUGUUCAUAAUAGCAUCUCUUUGCAAUUCAUUCUUGAUUCGGUUCUAGCUAUCGAUAAAGUUGCGGCAUCUUAAAUAACUUCGCUAACGUCAUCGAGCCGAAUCCACACUAGAGCCCAUGUUAGUGUUGUUUUUUUGCAACUCCGGACGCUAGGCUACCAGUUCUGUGAGCAGCUCGUGCCUACACAACUUAGGACUUGAUCUUUCGCAGAGAAUCGCUGGUUGUUAAGUUAUGUUGGCUUUGGUCCGAUCCUUGCGUAUAAAUCUAGUCGUCUAUGUUAGAAAGGGAACCUCGUUUCUGUUUGUAGUACCCAUGAAUUCUGGCUACAAAUAUGACGAAGUGGCACAGCAAGUCAUGAGCUCAAAGUACCACUUCGUACGGAGAAACGUGGUGCUGCGUACUAAUUUGCGAAAGACUAUGUAUGGGGUUCUCUGUAGGUCAUAUUAUGCGAAGGGCAAAGGACUCGCCAGAUGAUCCAAUCAGGCAAACCCCCAAUCAUGUAUUUGCCCGAUGAUAUUCAUUUGAAUUGUUACAAGAGUGCUCCUUUUUAGAGAGUAGAUAGCAUGUACAAUUACGAUGAUCUCGUCACAACUAUUAGAAGCUGCGAAUCUGAAAGAAAAGCUCCCUACAAACGGGUUUCAUUCACAGCAAGCUAACUUCCGUCUGAUGGUUUUUGACGUAAUAAUUUAUCGUAUUUACGAUUUCUUCUAAUCUUUCAGUUUCAGAAAAUCGACCAUACAAACCUGUGUAGCCGUUGGAAAAAGACAGCCAGUACUCAUUGUGUAUCAUUACCAUAUUUGCACGUCAUGAGAUGGGCGGUGCGUUGAUUGUCACUUGUCCACUGGAUAUGUUCAAAGCCCCUUCUCAUUUACGUCAAUAAGAAAAUCGCUAAUAUUUAUCUUGAAAACUUGGUUGUGGUUGUCCUUAAAUCCAGAAGCCGGCGCUCCAGCUUGGAUCCUGCAAUAUUGGAUCAGUUUGGAGGUAGGAUGCUUCUUACUUUGAAUAUUUCGCACUGCAUGGACAAUUCUUGUAUCGCGGAGAAUCUGAAGUAUGCAUGAAAUACCUUUCACCACGAUUGUCAAUAUCCUUCGCAGUCAUGCGACAUGAAAUGAACUCAUAAAACUCGAAUAUUCCUGGAUAUUAGUGCAACCAAUGUUGAGUUAGCAUGGCACACACUGAAUCUGAUGAAUUCUGCGGAAGUCCGCCCUUGAGGUGUUUGAUUGUCGCGUGAUGAAAGUACUUAUUCCUUAGGUGCUUGGAUCUGUGACCUCUCAGCAGGGGUGUUGAUCUAAUGGAGUAAGUCGUUACAGUAGAAUGAUCGCUUCCGCUUCUUUGUCAAUAUCAACAGCGUUAAAAUAGGAACCUCAGGGUUUCUCUGUAUAGAUAUCGCGACUGUGGGCGACAAAUGAUGGCUUUCAACAAUUUAUCACAUGAUGUAUCCCUACAGCAGUUUCCAGAGCUUUGGGAAAGUUCUAGAUUCUCUCAAAGGCAUGACACUCUGGACGCUGAUCAGCACACACAGGGCUUUGACGAUACACAAUUUCCCAAGGAGCCGCUGGAGCCUAAUACUAACUUGCAUCAAGUUGCAAUGGAAAUCCAGCCUAACGCAACUAUAAUUGGUGACGAGAGUAGCAGGGGCAGGAAUCCUGUAGUGAAUGAAUCGGAUGACAGAGAAGACGACAAUCAUCUCUUGGGAACAGAGGACGGGAUAGUGAAGAAUGGUCGUACUUGGCUCAAUAGUGCUCUACUGAGAGAACAGAAUCAGGCUAGUGAAGAUAGAUCAGGUUACGGCGAUCAUAAUGCAGCCGAAAGAUGGUGCCCUGUCUGUUCAGCGAGCGGUUCACAGUCUUGUAUGUGUGGCAUGCCAAUGCAUGCUGGUGAUAGCAGCACGAUCUCAUUUCCUAAUCAGAGUACCUACACCCAUUGGCUGUCGAUGCAAGGCGCUAAUAUGCUAGCUUCUCAACAUCGGACAGGGGGGGAGGUUGAUGCGAAAGCUGCAGGUUUUACAGUCAGCCCUCAAUCGACGAAAAUGGCGACAGAGCUGAACUUGUCUCCAGCAGGGCAUGGUAGAGACAACCAUGCGCUGUUUACAGACCCGCGGCAUUCUGUAGCGCAAGGUGGUUCUAGAUAUGCUGAAGAUUAUGAAAGAACCGAACAUCAGACCGACUGGGAGGGAGCAACCCAAAAGAUGGAGUGGGAGCAGGCCAGAGACAAGUUUCUGAUUGUUGCUCAUCCACUAUAUCCAGAUUUAUUGAAUGCACACGCUUCUUGUCUUCGGGUGGGGACCCCGGUAGAUCAGCUUCCACAUAUUGAGGCGCAGUUAACUCAAGCUCGACAUGUUACAAGCAAAUACUCUGUACUUCAUCCCGAUCACCUCGAAAUUACCGAGGAUGAAAAAACAGAACUUGAUCAAUUCAUGGCCCAGUAUAUCAUGCUCCUUUGUUCGUUCAAAGAUCACCUUCAACAACACGUAUAUUAUGAUGUUACUGAGGCCAUGAUGUCUUGUUGGGAGUUGGAGCAAGCACUACACAAUCUCACUGGAGUCUCUGCAGGGGAAAGCACUGGUGCGACAAUGUCUGAGGAAGAUGAGGAUUAUGAUAGUGAUUAUGGUGCAUACGAUGCACACAUGGAUCCUCAAGACAGCGGAGGUUUUGGUCCUCUGGUGCCUACUGAAUCGGAGAGAACUCUUAUGGAACGUGUUCGCCAAGAACUCAAGUACGAGCUGAAGCAGGGAUACAGAGCAAGAAUUGUUGAUGUGCGAGAGGAGAUCCUACGCAAACGGCGUGCUGGAAAGCUGCCUGAGGGAACUACAACAGUCUUGAAGGCUUGGUGGCAAGCACAUUCAAAGUGGCCAUAUCCCACGGAGGAUGAAAAGGAGCGGCUGAUUCAGGAGACAGGUUUGGAAUUGAAGCAAGUGAAUAAUUGGUUCAUAAACCAACGCAAGCGGAACUGGCACAGCAAUCCAUUGUCAUCAUCUUCUGAGCUGAAGAGCAAACGGAAAAAGUACUAAUCACUUGAGGUCGCUCUCUGAGUUUGAACCAUUACAUCGUGUUCUAUUUGUCGAGCUGGUAAUUGCUCCACACAUCACGUGAUUGCAAGUGAAAACUUACAGCAAGAAAUAUGAGCAUUUGCGUACACUCCGAGUAUAUUGCGAGGAAAAGGUUGUCCACAGCUAGCAGCCAAUUGGUUGCUUUCAAAGAUCUAUCUAUGAAGUUUCGACGGCUUCAAGGUUGAUUUCUCAAUUGUUCAAAGAGGCAUCACUGUAAGAAAGGGGAAGUUUCUUCAUACGAACGAUUUGAAGUUAUUUAAGUAAUACAUACGAGGAUAGUAUGUGCUACUAUUAUCAAGCUUGGCAUACGAAGUCGGAUGAGUGUUAUAAUUCAGUAACGUAAAGGGGAGAAUUGAGGGCCAUGUUUGAAGUUUCCAAGGACUCAUCCUGUGUGAUAGCUUUUCUCAUGAAUUAAGCGACAAGGUCAUUUGUUGUUAUGUGGAUGGCACGAGCGCCAGGAUCAAUUGGAUUCUGCAAAUACGAGAGAGAGAGUUUGCUAACAAAUCAACGCACACCCACACUUGUAAGCGCAAGUUUACUUCAUUUUGGUGUACAUCAGCAAGAAGUAAAAAAACAACUGGUGACAGUCUAAAUUUAAGCAGGCUCGUAGUAUUCCAGACUUGCGAUCACCAGGCAGAUUGUUUCAAUGCACGCACACUUGAUGAUGAACUGCUUCUCAAGUCACAAGCUUCAUCAACAUAGGUAACCAUAUAAGUUUACAGGUGCUGUAUCAGCCACGGAUCCCGAGGCAAUGAUGCCUCCCGAGCUCAACAAUGUGUUAAUCCGGAAACACUAUCGCAAGAGUGCAGAAUGUAAUUUUAACAGUGUAUAGAUUAUGAUAUUGGCAUUGUAUAUAUACACUUGGGAACACUUAUCUACUUCCAAUGUACACUGGUUGAGAGUAAUUCUAGCUUAAAGCGUUAGCUAGCUCUUAUUUUUGGCUAUUUCCUUGUAAAGGCAAAUUGGACGAAGUAAAGUUAUGCAAUUCAUUCAA